rnacentral:rRNA from 1 species
GUACACACCGCCCGUCGCACCAUGGGAGUGGAGGAUACCAGAAGUAGUUAGGCUAACCGCAAGGGGGCCGAUUACCACGGUAUGUUUCAUGACUGGGGUGAAGUCGUAACAAGGUUUCCGUAGGUGAACCUGCAGAAGGAUCA